rnacentral:sRNA from 1 species
GCCGGGUGUGGUGUUGGGUGCCUGUAAUCCCAGCUACUCGGGAGGCUGAGGCAGGAGAAUUGCUUGAACCUGGGAGGCAGAGGUUGCAGUGAGGCAAGAUUGUGCCACUGUACUCCAGCCUGGAGACAGAGCGAGACUCUGUCUCACAAAAAAAAAAAAAAAAAAUGCAUCUUGUUUGUUUGUUUUGAGACGGAGUCUCACUCUGUCACCUAGGCUGGAGAGUGGUGGUGCCAUCACGGCUAACUGCAACCUCUGCCUCCCAGGUUCAAGUAAUUCUCCUGCCCCA